rnacentral:rRNA from 1 species
AAAAGAACCCCGGCGAGGGGAGUGAAAAAGAACCUGAAACCGUGUACGUACAAGCAGUGGGAGCCCUGAUUUAUCAGGGUGACUGCGUACCUUUUGUAUAAUGGGUCAGCGACUUAUAUUCUGUAGCAAGGUUAACCGAAUAGGGGAGCCGGAGGGAAACCGAGUCUUAACUGGGCGUUAAGUUGCAGGGUAUAGACCCGAAACCCGGUGAUCUAGCCAUGGGCAGGUUGAAGGUUGGGUAACACUAACUGGAGGACCGAACCGACUAAUGUUGAAAAAUUAGCGGAUGACUUGUGGCUGGGGGUGAAAGGCCAAUCAAACCGGGAGAUAGCUGGUUCUCCCCGAAAGCUAUUUAGGUAGCGCCUCGUGAAUUCAUCUCCGGGGGUAGAGCACUGUUUCGGCAAGGGGGUCAUCCCGACUUACCAACCCGAUGCAAACUGCGAAUACCGGAGAAUGUUAUCACGGGAGACACACGGCGGGUGCUAACGUCCGUCGUGAAGAGGGAAACAACCCAGACCGCCAGCUAAGGUCCCAAAGUCAUGGUUAAGUGGGAAACGAUGUGGGAAGGCCCAGACAGCCAGGAUGUUGGCUUAGAAGCAGCCAUCAUUUAAAGAAAGCGUAAUAGCUCACUGGUCGAGUCGGCCUGCGCGGAAGAUGUAACGGGGCUAAACCAUGCACCGAAGCUGCGGCAGCGACGCUGAUGCGUUGUUGGGUAGGGGAGCGUUCUGUAAGCCUGUGAAGGUGGCCUGUGAGGGUUGCUGGAGGUAUCAGAAGUGCGAAUGCUGACAUAAGUAACGAUAAAGCGGGUGAAAAGCCCGCUCGCCGGAAGACCAAGGGUUCCUGUCCAACGUUAAUCGGGGCAGGGUGAGUCGACCCCUAAGGCGAGGCCGAAAGGCGUAGUCGAUGGGAAACAGGUUAAUAUUCCUGUACUUGGUGUUACUGCGAAGGGGGGACGGAGAAGGCUAUGUUGGCCGGGCGACGGUUGUCCCGGUUUAAGCGUGUAGGCUGGUUUUCCAGGCAAAUCCGGAGAAUCAAGGCUGAGGCGUGAUGACGAGGCACUACGGUGCUGAAGCAACAAAUGCCCUGCUUCCAGGAAAAGCCUCUAAGCAUCAGGUAACAUCAAAUCGUACCCCAAACCGACACAGGUGGUCAGGUAGAGAAUACCAAGGCGCUUGAGAGAACUCGGGUGAAGGAACUAGGCAAAAUGGUGCCGUAACUUCGGGAGAAGGCACGCUGAUGGUAGGUGAAGCGACUUGCUCGUGGAGCUGAAAUCAGUCGAAGAUACCAGCUGGCUGCAACUGUUUAUUAAAAACACAGCACUGUGCAAACACGAAAGUGGACGUAUACGGUGUGACGCCUGCCCGGUGCCGGAAGGUUAAUUGAUGGGGUCAGCGCAAGCGAAGCUCUUGAUCGAAGCCCCGGUAAACGGCGGCCGUAACUAUAACGGUCCUAAGGUAGCGAAAUUCCUUGUCGGGUAAGUUCCGACCUGCACGAAUGGCGUAAUGAUGGCCAGGCUGUCUCCACCCGAGACUCAGUGAAAUUGAACUCGCUGUGAAGAUGCAGUGUACCCGCGGCAAGACGGAAAGACCCCGUGAACCUUUACUAUAGCUUGACACUGAACACUGGUCCUUGAUGUGUAGGAUAGGUGGGAGGCUUUGAAGUGUGGACGCCAGUCUGCAUGGAGCCGUCCUUGAAAUACCACCCUUUAAUGGCUGGUGUUCUAACGUGGGCCCGUAAUCCGGGUUGCGGACAGUGUCUGGUGGGUAGUUUGACUGGGGCGGUCUCCUCCUAAAGAGUAACGGAGGAGCACGAAGGUUGGCUAAUCCUGGUCGGACAUCAGGAGGUUAGUGCAAUGGCAUAAGCCAGCUUGACUGCGAGCGUGACGGCGCGAGCAGGUGCGAAAGCAGGUCAUAGUGAUCCGGUGGUUCUG